rnacentral:rRNA from 1 species
UACGUAGGGGGCAAGCGUUGUCCGGAUUUACUGGGCGUAAAGCGCGCGUAGGCGGAACUUCAAGUCCGGUCUGAAAGCCCCCGGCUCAACCGGGGAGGGUGGCUGGAAACUGGGGUUCUUGAGGGCGAGAGAGGAGGGUGGAAUUCCUGGUGUAGCGGUGAAAUGCGUAGAGAUCAGGAGGAACACCCGGGGCGAAGGCGGCCCUCUAGUACGGUACUGACGCUGAGACGCGAAAGCGUGGGGAGCGAACAGG